GACAGAGGCCUCGAGCGUUAGGCGGAAUCACUGGGCUUAAAGCGUGUGUAGGUGGAUGGGUAAGUACCUUGUGAAAUCCCACAGCUCAACUGUGGAACUGCUUGGUAUACUGCUUGUCUUGAGCUAUCUAGGGGCAGUCGGAACAAAUGGUGGAGCGGUGAAAUGCGUAGAGAUCAGGAAGAACACCGGUGGCGAAAGCGCUCUGCUAGGCCGCAACUGACACUGAGGCGCGAAAGCGUGGGGAGCGAACAGG
rnacentral:rRNA from 1 species